AGACGCCGGCGCCACCUCACGGGAGACACUACAUUUUACAAGUGUAUAUAAAGGCCGCUCAUGUGUAUAGACACACACCUCCAGAGCAUCUCUUACAUAUCCUAAGUCACAGGUUCAUGAAAGACUGUUGCAGAGAUCUCCAAUCAAAUCCUUCAAAACUACACGAGCACCCACAGAAUCUGGGUUAACCCAUUCCUAAAGUAGGUCUAAGAAUGGAUGGUGUGUCACAUGUGCCACCAUGUGCCUCAGCUACAAAAUCAGAAAAAUUGGAAUGGAUAAAGAAACAUCCACAAGAAAAAUAUGCUUUUUCAGAUAAUCAAGAACCAUGUUUUCCAGAAAACCAGACUCGUUCAUCAAUUAGGAAGAUAACAUUGAACUUGAAGAGUGAGACAACAGAAUUGGAAAUAAUAUAUGGUGUUUUUGUACGCAUUGUGAACCAAUGGCAACAAAUAUUGAAUCGAUAUGCUGUAAAGAAGUUUCAAAUAUUGAACCAUAUCUUGAAGAAAUGCGUUGUAUAAUUGAACAUGAUUAUUUUCAUCAAUUUAGUGAAGAUAGAAGAAGAGUGGAGGUCUCGAUGCGUUCAAUAGGUCAAGUGUUGCAUCCUCUGCCUGAUAAAGAUUUGAACAGAGGUUUGAAUUGAUGUAAUGUUCUGAUCACCAUAUAAUAAAAGUGAUGACAAAACAUG